CCUACGGGCGGCAGCAGUAGGGAAUCUUCGGCAAUGGGGGGAACCCUGACCGAGCAACGCCGCGUGAACGAAGAAGUUAUUCGUAAUGUAAAGUUCUUUUAACAGGGAAGAAAGAGAAAUUUGACGGUACCUUCCGAAUAAGCUCCGGCUAACUACGUGCCAGCAGCCGCGGUAAUACGGAGGGGGCGAGCGUUAUCCGGAAUUGUUGGGCGUAAAGGGUGCGUAGAUGGAAGAGUAAGUCUUUUGUAAAAAUGAUGGGCUCAACCCAGUAGAGCAACAGAUACUGGAAAGCUAGAGUAUGCGAGAGGCAAGCGGAACGAGAUGUGUAGCGGUAAAAUGCGUAAAUAU
rnacentral:rRNA from 1 species